rnacentral:rRNA from 1 species
AAACUCUGAACCAGCCAUGCCGCGUGAAGGAUGACGGCCCUAUGGGUUGUAAACUUCUUUUAUAGAGGAAGAAACUUGUCUACGUGUAGACAACUGACGGUACUCUACGAAUAAGGAUCGGCUAACUCCGUGCCAGCAGCCGCGGUAAUACGGAGGAUCCAAGCGUUAUCCGGAUUCAUUGGGUUUAAAGGGUCCGUAGCGGAUUUUUAAGUCAGUGGUGAAAGCCGACAGCUCAACUGUCGAACUGCCAUUGAUACUGGAAAUCUUGAGUACAAAUGAAGUAGGCGGAAUGAGUCAUGUAGCGGUGAAAUGCAUAGAUAUGACUCAGAACACCGAUUGCGAAGGCAGCUUACUAACAUGUAACUGACGCUGAGGGACGAAAGGGUGGGGAGCGAACAGGAUUAGAUACCCUGGUAGUCCACGCCGUAAACGAUCAUCACUCGCUGUUGGCGAUAUACUGUCAGCGGCCAAGCGAAAGUAUUAAGUGAUGCACCUGGGGAGUACGCCGGCAACGGUGAAACUCAAAGGAAUUGACGGGGGCCGCACAAGCGGUGGAGCAUGUGGUUUAAUUCGAUGAUACGCGAGGAACCUUACCAGGGCUUAAAUGUAGUUUGACCGGCUUGGAAACAGGCCUUCUCUUCGGAGCAGAUUACAAGGUGCUGCAUGGUUGUCGUCAGCUCGUGCCGUGAGGUGUUAGGUUAAGUCCUGCAACGAGCGCAACCCCUAUUCUUAGUUGCCAGCGGUUCGGCCGGGGACUCUAAGAAGAC